UGCCAGCCGCCGCGGUAAUACGGAAGGUGCGAGCGUUAAUCGGAAUUACUGGGCGUAAAGCGCACGUAGGUGGCUUGGUAAGUCGGAUGUGAAAGCCCUGGGCUCAACCUGGGAAUUGCAUUCGAUACUGCUUAGCUAGAGUAUGAGAGAGGGUAGUGGAAUUCCGGGUGUAGCGGUGAAAUGCGUAGAUAUCCGGAGGAACAUCAGUGGCGAAGGCGGCUCACUGGUCUAAUACUGACGCUGAGGAGCGAAAGCGUGGGGAGCAAACGGGAUUAGAUA
rnacentral:rRNA from 1 species